rnacentral:rRNA from 1 species
UGGGAAUUUGGACAAUGGGCGAAGCCUGAUCCAGCAAUGCCGCGUGUGUGAAGAAGGCCUUCGGGUUGUAAAGCACUUUUGUCCGGAAAGAAAUCCUUGGCUCUAAUACAGUCGGGGGAUGACGGUACAGGAAGAAUAAGCACCGGCUAACUACGUGCCAGCAAGCCGCGGUAAUACGUAGGGUGCAAGCGUUAAAUCGGAAUUACUGGGCGUAAAGCGUGCGCAGGCGGUUUGCUAAGACCGAUGUGAAAUCCCCGGGCUCAACCUGGGAACUGCAUUGGUGACUGGCAGGCUAGAGUAUGGCAGAGGGGGGUAGAAUUCCACGUGUAGCAGUGAAAUGCGUAGAGAUGUGGAGGAAUACCGAUGGCGAAGGCAGCCCCCUGGGCAAGUACUGACGCUCAUGCACGAAAAGCGUGGGGAGCAAAACAGGAUUAGAUACCCUGGUAGUACCACGCCCUAAAACGAUGUCAACUAGUUGUUGGGAUUCAUUUCCUUAGUAACGUAGCUAAACGCGUGAAGUUGACCGCCUGGGGAG